UGUUCUUCUUCUCUUUCUUCUGUUUUUCAUGUCAAUUAAGAAGGAAAUCACUAAUUCGUCUUUGCAGGGAAUUAGGUUUGGGACAUCAAGUCUAUCCAGACUUUCAUUGUAGAAAACUAUAUCCGGGAUUUGUAAGGUUAUUGAAUCGGGAAAUGACGCAGAACCAGAUGAUGUAGAGAUAAAAGGACCUGAACUUAAUGCCAAAGAUGCCAAAUGAUUCUAACCUCCCUGGAAACUAUAUGAGAAAAUAAUUGUUGGUGGUCAGUUGGAGAAACUGAAUUUAAAGUUUAUUUAAGGAAAAUUGGAUUGGGAUCAACAGUGAAGAAAAACGUUCUUAUGGAUCGAAUUAAGAAACAUCUUGGCGCAUGAUCAUAAAUGGUGGUGGAGAACAGAAGUAUCUGGUAUCUAGCUUUGUGUACAACUGCAAAGGUCAGUAUGAUUGAUAGAUUUUAUGGUGGUCUUCUUCUCGGCUAGAAAAAAGUAUUUAUCUUACAUAGUUAGGUUUGUUAAACAUAAUAUUGUGAUGAAUAUUUAUGGACUGUCUGCAAAAAAUACAUAAUGCUGUUAUAAUGCCAAUAUGGCAACUGUUGUUA